GAUAAACGCUAGCGGUGUGCAUUAUGCAUGCAAGUCGAACGGUGCUUCGAAAGAGGCGCAGUGGCAAACGGCUGAGUAACACGUAAGUAACCUGUCCCAAAGUGGGGAAUAAUUCACCGAAAGGUGGACUAAUACCGCAUGUGGUAGUGGGGGUAGGUUCCCAUUACUAAAGCUCUAGGGCGCUUAGGGAGGGGCUUGCGACCUAUCAGGUAGUUGGUGGGGUAACGGCUCACCAAGCCGACGACGGGUAGCUGGUCUGAGAGGAUGUCCAGCCAGACGGGGACUGAGACACGGCCCCGACUCCUACGGGAGGCAG
rnacentral:rRNA from 1 species